rnacentral:rRNA from 1 species
GUGAGGAAUUUUCCGCAAUGGGCGAAAGCCUGACGGAGCAAUGCCGCGUGAAGGAUGAAGGCCUAUGGGUUGUAAACUUCUUUUCUCAGAAAAGAAUUAUGACGGUAUCUGAGGAAUAAGCAUCGGCUAACUCUGUGCCAGCAGCCGCGGUAAGACAGAGGAUGCAAGCGUUAUCCGGAAUGAUUGGGCGUAAAGCGUCUGUAGGUUGUUUAAAAAGUAUUCUGUCAAAGAUUAGGGCUUAACCCUAGAUAGGCAGAAUAAACUUUUAAGCUAGAUUUUGGUAGGGGGAGGGGGAAGUCCCGGUGGAGCGGUGAAAUGCGUAGAUAUCGGGAGGAACACCAAAGGCGAAGGCACUCUGCUGGGCCAAUACUAACACUGAGAGACGAAAGCGAGGGGAGCAAAUGGGAUUAGAAACCCCGGUAGUCC